CCCGCUGAACUUAAGCAUAUCAAUAAGCGGAGGAAAAGAAACCAACCGGGAUUGCCUCAGUAACGGCGAGUGAAGCGGCAAGAGCUCAAAUUUGAAAUCUGGCCUUCUGGUCCGAAUUGUAAUUUGUAGAGGAUGCUUCGAAUAUAGCCUGGGUCUAAGUUCCUUGGAACAGGAUGUCAUAGAGGGUGAGAAUCCCGUAUGCGACUCGGUGUCUAUUUUCAUGUGAAGCUCCUUCAACGAGUCGAGUUGUUUGGGAAUGCAGCUCAAAAUGGGUGGUAAAUUUCAUCUAAAGCUAAAUAUUGGCCAGAGACCGAUAGCGCACAAGUAGAGUGAUCGAAAGAUGAAAAGCACUUUGGAAAGAGAGUUAAACAGUACGUGAAAUUGUUGAAAGGGAAGCGCUUGCAAUCAGACUUGCGGGCGGUCGAUCAUCCGAGGUUCUCCCCGGUGCACUCGAUCGUUCUCAGGCCGGCAUCGGUUUCCGGGGUGGGAUAAAGGCGGUGGGAAUGUGGCUCUUCGGAGUGUUAUAGCCCACCGUGCAAUGCCGCCACUGGGGACCGAGGACCGCGCUUCGGCUAGGAUGCUGGCGUAAUGGUUGUAAGCGACCCGUCUUGAAACACGG
rnacentral:rRNA from 1 species